UACGGAGGGUGCAAACGUUGCUCGGAAUUAUUGGGCGUAAAGCGCAUGUAGGCGGCCGAGUAAGUCGGGUGUGAAAGCCCAGGGCUUAACCCUGGAAGUGCACUCGAAACUGCUCGGCUUGAUAUGGAAGAGGGUCGCGGAAUUCCCGGUGUAGAGGUGAAAUUCGGUAGAUACGGGAGGAACACCAGUGGGCGAAGGCGGCGAC
rnacentral:rRNA from 1 species